rnacentral:piRNA from 1 species
UGAGGCUUUUAGCUUUAUAUUCCUUGGC